rnacentral:rRNA from 1 species
CUUAGUGGCGGACGGGUGAGUAACGCGUGGGGAACCUGCCCUGUACAGGGGGAUAACACUUAGAAAUAGGUGCUAAUACCGCAUAAGCGCACAGUAUCGCAUGAUACGGUGUGAAAAACUCCGGUGGUACAGGAUGGACCCGCGUCUGAUUAGCUGGUUGGCGGGGUAACGGCCCACCAAGGCGACGAUCAGUAGCCGGCCUGAGAGGGUGAACGGCCACAUUGGGACUGAGACACGGCCCAAACUCCUACGGAAGGCAGCAG